AUCCUUAUAGCCAAUCACAGAUUGAUAAUCCAGUUUUCCAGCCACUGACUCAAAACAUGCCAUUCUUCAAGACUCAAGGUUACAGUCUACUGUUUAGUGUUUACCACGAAUCAGGUUUUUGAACACCCUUUAUAUCAACUGUCAGUACAAACUGUUAAAUGCACCAACACAAACUACUAGUCCAGAAUCCAGAUGCUAUAUAUGAAUUUUCCAUCAAAGGAAGUUAAAUGACUUUUCUGAGUUAUAGUUGUAAGCUUGUAAUUUUACCAAAGUUCAAUCUGUAAUGACUCCCUGUUAACCAGGCUUAAGCAAAGUUUUGGUUGCCCAUGAA
rnacentral:misc_RNA from 1 species